rnacentral:rRNA from 1 species
UACAGAGGUCUCAAGCGUUGUUCGGAUUCAUUGGGCGUAAAGGGUGCGUAGGUGGCGCUGUAAGUCGGGUGUGAAAUUUCGGAGCUUAACUCCGAAACUGCAUUCGAUACUGCGGUGCUUGAGGACUGGAGAGGAGACUGGAAUUCAUGGUGUAGCAGUGAAAUGCGUAGAGAUCAUGAGGAAGACCAGUGGCGAAGGCGGGUCUCUGGGCCACUACUGACGCUGAGAAGCGAAAGCAUGGGGGAGCGAACAGG